rnacentral:rRNA from 1 species
UAGGGAAUCUUCCACAAUGGACGCAAGUCUGAUGGAGCAACGCCGCGUGAGUGAAGAAGGUUUUCGGACCGUAAAGCUCUGUUGUUGGUGAAGAAGGAUAGAGGUAGUAACUGGCCUUUAUUUGACGGUAAUCAACCAGAAAGUCACGGCUAACUACGUGCCAGCAGCCGCGGUAAUACGUAGGUGGCAAGCGUUGUCCGGAUUUAUUGGGCGUAAAGCGAGCGCAGGCGGAAGAAUAAGUCUGAUGUGAAAGCCCUCGGCUUAACCGAGGAAUUGCAUCGGAAACUGUUUUCUUGAGUGCAGAAGAGGAGAGUAGAACUCCAUGUGUAGCGGUGGAAUGCGUAGAUAUAUGGAAGAAUACCAGUGGCGAAGGCGGCUCUCUGGUCUGCAACUGACGCUGAGGCUCGAAAGCAUGGGUAGCGAACAGGGUUAGAUACCCUGGUAGUCCAUGCCGUAAACGAUGAGUGCUAAGUGUUGGGAGGCUUCCGCCUCUCAGUGCUGCAGCUAACGCAUUAAGCACUCCGCCUGGGGGAGUACGACCGCAAGGUUGAAAC